rnacentral:lncRNA from 1 species
CCCCUUGAGAAAUGUUCCCCCACCUAAGUCUUGAGGUGGAGUCAACUUCCUAAAAGUUGUAAGUGCAGGCAACCCAACCUGAGGCCCCAGGCCAGGGCCCUCCUGAGCCACACCUUGCUGCAUGAUCUCCACAAUCUGUACCACCUUGUCCAUGUGCUUCCGAGCAGCAAUCAGCCCUUGCAGCAUGAGCAUCUUGUAGUAGUUGAACAUAUCACCGUUCAGGCCACCCAUUACCUAGAAGCAAGGAGAGUGACUUGUGUGCACAGAGGAAUUCUGGUGGGUCCUUUCCCUGAGGCCUCAGAGCUUCCUCUCUUAAGGUAAUCAUGGUAAAUUUCCUUAUCACUAUCUCCACAUUUUCUUUCAUAAGCUCGCUCCCAGGCAAUCCUGCCUCGUCUUGACUUACUGCCAUUUCUGUUCUGUUCCUAAUUUGGGGGAGCCCAUCAGCUCCUCUCAGAGGAAGAACACAGUUACCCUUGGAAGCACUUCUCUUUUUUGACUCACAUCCACAAAUUCUGUGGUCAGCUUAAAGGCUGAUGUCUCGAAGCCCAGGUUUCGGGGUGAGCUGGAAAGGAUGAAGCCAAAGUCGAUGUGGAUGAUGUGACCUUCUGCGUCCAGAAGGAUGUUCCCGUUGUGCCUAAGGAAGAGGCAACAGAAGUAAUCGAGCAAGGAGAGCUGUGACUGUUUCUUCACCUGGUGGAUGGACACAGCGUUGACUACUGGUUCAAUCAUGCCACUGUCAGCUGAAAUCACAAGAAUCUUAUAUGGCUUGAUCCAAAGAGGCACUCGCUCCUGUUCCCAAAUGGACUGUGAAGAGACAC